UUCCAGUUUGCGCUUAAUCUCCGAAAGCCGGAGAGCGGGGGAACCAACGCCAGCCGAUGCAUGCUUAAGACGUCAUGAAGUAUCGUGCUGCGUAUGAAUUCUUCAGGGGUGAAUUUUGCGGCGAUUGCCAUGAGCAUUCGUUCCGCGGAUAGGGCAGCUCUCUCGCCCGAACCCGUCAGCUAACCUCGUAAGCGAAUAUAGAGAGCGAUC
rnacentral:sRNA from 2 species